GGAAAGCCCAGACGGCAAGGGAUGGGGUCGCGGCCCAUUAGGUAGACGGCGGGGUAACGGCCCACCGUGCCCGCGAUGGGUAGCCGGGUUGAGAGACCGAUCGGCCACAUUGGGACUGAGAUACGGCCCAGACUCCUACGGGAGGCAGCAGUGGGGAAUUUUGCGCAAUGGGGGAAACCCUGACGCAGCAACGCCGCGUGCGGGACGAAGGCCUUCGGGUUGUAAACCGCUUUCAGCAGGGAAUAUAGUGAAGGUACCUGCAGAAGAAGCUCCGGCUAACUACGUGCCAGCAGCCGCGGUAAUACGUAGGGAGCGAGCGUUAUCCGGAUUCAUUGGGCGUAAAGCGCGCGUAGGCGGCCCGUCAAGCGGGGUUUCAAAUCCAGGGGCUCAACCUCUGGCCGGACCCCGAACUGGCGGGCUCGAGUGCGGUAGAGGAAGGUGGAAUUCCCAGUGUAGCGGUGAAAUGCGCAGAUAUUGGGAAGAACACCGAUGGCGAAGGCAGCCUUCUGGGCCGCCACUGACGCUGAGGCGCGAAAGCUAGGGGAGCGAACAGGAUUAGAUACCCUGGUAGUCCUAGCCGUAAACGAUGAGCGCUAGGUGUGGGGGAGCAUCUCCUCCGUGCC
rnacentral:rRNA from 1 species